GGGUUUUUUGGAGGGACUACAUCCUGCACCCAAAGGGCGCUAAACAAUUUUAUGGUGACCUAUGAACAGAGUAGGUGGUGAGUGGGAAGGGAGACAGCACCCAAACAGGAUACCAAAAAGGGGGGGGGGCACCUGAAAUUACCACUUUAGAAUAUAAAGCAAUGUUUACGUACAGAUUAACACAAUCUCUUACUCACACAUCCCACCUGUGACAUUGAUCCAGAGCCCUCACCUAUGGCCACAUGUCAUCUUUUCCACUCUUAGUAGAUUACAGAUGUUUUGCUUUGAAGUGGAAGAAGAAGAAAAAAAAAAAAAAAAGAAAAGAACCAGAGCUGCCCUAAAAGGAAUGAGGAAGUGAGAGCGCUCCAGCGUCUGGCUGGCUGUGUCCGUGUGACAGCCCGUGAUGUUCUUUCCGGUCUCGGUAAUAUUCUGAAUUUCCACCUGCCCGCCCCCUCUCCCUUAUAACGCGGAACACGUGAAGCUAGAGCAGUUCAGUCUUCUGUCUAAAGGUGAAUUCGUCGAAGCAGAGUGUCAUGCUGUUUCUCCCAUUUUCCACAGCUCCCAGGAGGUAAAAGAUCUCUGGCUGGAGGCCCUCCGAGGACAGAGCCAAGGCCACACGGGAGCAAAAUUCAUCACCAGACAGUCAGCCCCAACUCUGAUGAAGUUGACCAGCAGCUGCAAUGCUUCAAAAACACUAAAUGCCACUAAUAUGGAGACAUUAAUUGAAUGUCACUCAGAGGGUGAUAUCAAGGAACAUCCUCUGUUGGCAUCAUGUCAGAGUGAAGACAGCCUUUGCCACCUAAUUGAAAUUAAGAAGAGAAAGAAGGUGCUGUCCUGGCUCUUUCUCAUGAGAAGGCUUUCCUCUUCGUCAGACUUUCCUGGGGCUUCGGAGCCAGAGUCGAAGGCGUCGCUAUUUGACCAGCCCCUGUCGGCCAUCUGCAGCAACGACGACACGCUCCCCAGACCCAUCCAGGAUAUCCUCACUAUUCUGUGCCUUAAAGGCCCUUCCACUGAAGGGAUAUUCAGGAAAGCAGCCAACGAGAAAGCCCGCAAGGAGCUCAAGGAGGAGCUCAACUCCGGAGGCGCGGUGGACCUCAAAAGCCUCCCUGUGCACCUCCUGGCCGUGGUCUUCAAGGACUUCCUCAGAAGUAUCCCGCUGAAGCUCCUGUCCUGUGACCUGUUUGAGGAGUGGAUGGGCGCCCUGGAGAAGCAGAGUGAGGAGGACAGGAUUGAGGCCCUGAAGCAGGUUGCAGCGAAGCUCCCGCGGCCCAACCUCCUGCUGCUCAAGCACCUGGUCUCUGUGCUCCACCUGAUCAGCAGGAACUCUGAGGUCAACAGGAUGGAUGCCAGCAACCUGGCCAUCUGCAUCGGACCCAACAUGCUGACCCCAGACAACGACCAGCACCUGUCGUUCGAAGCCCAGAGAGACGUGAACAAUAAGGUUAAGAUGCUGGUGGAAUUUCUCAUCGAUAACUGCUUGGAGAUAUUUGGGGAGACCAUUCCAGCACAUUCCAGCACUGCUUCUGACGAUUCCCUGGAACACACUGACGGUUCAGACAUGUCAACCCUGCUGAACGACUCGGCCUACGACAGCAACGAUCCCGACCCCGACGUGGACUCCUCCCCCGGCAGGCGGCCCCCGGGGCCCUCAGACCCGGCCGCCGGCCUGGAGCCCAGAGGCCGGCAGCACACCGGGGAGCCCAUUGCCAGCACGGUGGCCAGACUGAAGGGCUCCCUCAGUCAGGUGGACCGGAGGUACUCGGACCCCAGCAUGGCAUCCAUCCCCAAGCACCUCGAGGGCUGGAAAACAAACCAAAAAUUAACGCGAAGUGAGGAUGACUUCACCCUGGCCCGGGCAGCCUCCUGUUUUGCAAGUGAGGAAGCUGAGGACCCAUUUUCUGAGGAGGUGUUUCCUGCAGCUCAAGGCAAAAUCCAGAGGCCCCAGGACCUGAGGGUGCAGGACUCGACUCAGGUUUUGGGGUUACCGCGUAGACCGGCGCCCCAGGCCGCCUCCAGUGGCUCUCUGGACACUUCCUCCGACGGCUCGCCCGUGACUUCUCCUUCCAGUCCCAAAAGAAACUUCUUCUUCACCAGACACCAGUCUUUCACAAAGGCUGAGAAAAGUAAGCCCAGCAGAGAAAUCAAAAGGCACUCCACGUCGUUCUCCUUUGCCUCUCACAGAAGAGUGCUGACCAAAACCCCCAGCUCUGAGGCUGUGAGAGCCAAGGCCGUCACCAGGGACCAAGUAAAUAGAGGGUUGAAAAAAGAAAGCCAGCUCGCUGGCCGAAUUGUCCAGGAGAGCGCCUCUGAAAUCCACGGCCAAACAGCUGGAGACGUUCACUCAGGGUCCUGCGCCCUUUCGGUGGAGGACGUGUUCCCUCAGAGGAGCCCGGGAAGCCCGCCCUCCUACGAGGAGGCCAUGCGGCGCCAGGCCUUGGAGCUCGCGGCCGUCGGGGCCCAGACAGUGGGCAGCAUGAGGGCCAGGAUGCUCAGCCUGGACUCAGGCUUGCCACCUCCUCUCCCUUCCCACCGUGGAGGGGAUGCAAGAAACACGUGCAGUCAAGAGCUGCUGGGCGGGCACCGACGGUGGCCCAGGACUGGGAGCUGGACGGAGAGCGGGACUAUCUGUGCUUCUGUAGAAACAACAGGGCAGGUGACUGUCCCCGGGAUGCCGGAGCUGCAGCUGCCGAGAACUGUGUUGGAGCCUCGCCAGCAGGGCGAGCAGGACUCCCUGCUCCGACGGUGUCAUCACCCCGUCUUUGAGGCCGAGCAGCUCCGAUACGCUAAAGAAUCCUACGUUUAGGCUGGCGGGCCUGACGCCAGGACACAGCUCCCGGCAUCUCUGAUUCAUAGAAUCCCAUCAAGAAAAUCAUUCACACACUGAUUCAUCCAGCAAGCAUUUCUUGAACAUAUAUUCAUUAUUCUGGACUAAUAGGCAUAACGAGAUGGAGACCCUGUGAUUGGGAAGAAGAGACAAUCCCUGUUGUCCAGAAAUUCACACCACCAUAAAGAUGGACCCUCUUUAAGCCAAUUUUUGGGCAAAUGAUCCCUCAGAGACCAGAAAAUUUAAGUACAAAUCAAACGUGAAUGAGGAACCACCAGUGGGGUGAAGUGGGACCCUCCUCCUACCAUAGACUACAAAGAGGGAGCGUGGUGAGACCAGCACGCCUGCAGAAUGCAACGGCUCACCGGAAAAAGGAAACACAGAAUGAUAACAUCUCUGUAGGAAAAGAAAGCGAAUGUGUCGGUACAAGAAAGAGGGUGCGAUCCACAUCCACAGGGCCUGAGGCCACACCCCACAUGUGCUGCCGUGGACCAGGUGCCAUGCUGUCUGAGCAUCAGCUUCUCCACCUGUAAAUUGAGGAUAAUCAUAACACGGCAUCAGUUGUGGAAUGCAUGUAAGAAAAACUCCAAGAAACAGAGAGCAGGGACGUGCGCUCUCUCUGUGUUAAAGGAACAGGUGGCAGCCCAGGGCUGGCAUGGUAGCUCCCAGACACCCUCGGCCCCAGUUCCUUCACACCCGAGGCCACUUCGUGGGCAUGUGACCUGUGCAGUCACAUAGGGCUCCAUGCUUCGAAGUCAUAAAACAUGUCAAGUUUUCCUAAGUUAAUUUAUAAACUUAAGGUGUUCACAAUAAAAGAACCAACAGGAGGUUUUCGAAGUUUUUUUUUUUGGUGGUUGUUGUUACUUAUUGGAACUAAACAAACUGAAUCUGAAAGUCAUAUUUCAAAAAGCAGUAAGCUAAUAGGAAAGGGAAGUGUAGAACAGAGGAGCAGUGAAGAAGGCAAGCCCUGCUGAUUUUACACCAUGCUCGGUAUAGGAACAGGUGGGUCCCAGAGCAGGACUAGACAGCAAACCAACAGAACAGAAUAGAAAGCCCAAGAGCAGAGGCGAAUGCAUACGGGGCCUUAGUGUAUGAAGGCGGCAUUUCACCACAGUGGGGAAUCUAAAGAUAAUUCAAUAAAUGGCAUCGGUUAUAAGUAAGUGGCCAUCUGGGGGGGAAAAAAGGUGGAACCAUAUCUCACAAUCUAUGCCAGGAUAAAUUCUAGACGGAUCCAAGAUUUAAAUGUGGAAAGUAAAAGAACGCUACUGUAUAGCACAGAGGACUAAAUUCAAUAGCUUGUAAUAACCUAUAAUGAAAAAGAA